AGUGAACGCUGGCGGUAUGCCUAACACAUGCAAGUCGAACGGCAGCACAGUAAGAGCUUGCUCUUACGGGUGGCGAGUGGCGGACGGGUGAGGAAUACAUCGGAAUCUACUUUUUCGUGGGGGAUAACGUAGGGAAACUUACGCUAAUACCGCAUACGACCUACGGGUGAAAGCAGGGGAUCUUCGGACCUUUCGCGAUUGAAUGAGCCGAUGUCGGAUUAGCUAGUUGGCGGGGUAAAGGCCCACCAAGGCGACGAUCCGUAGCUAGUCUGAGAGGAUGAUCAGCCACACUGGAACUGAGACACGGUCCAGACUCCUACGAGAGGCAGCAGUGGGGAAUAUUGGACAAUGGGCGCAAGCCUGAUCCAGCCAUACCGCGUGGGUGAAGAAGGCCUUCGGGUUGUAAAGCCCUUUUGUUGGGAAAGAAAAGCAGCAGGUUAAUACCCCGCUGUUCUGACGGUACCCAAAGAAUAAGCACCGGCUAACUUCGUG
rnacentral:rRNA from 1 species